GCGUGCAGGAUGAAGGCCUUCGGGUUGUAAACUGCUUUUGUACGGAGCGAAAAGGCUUCUUCUAAUACAGGAGGCUCAUGACGGUACCGUAAGAAUAAGCACCGGCUAACUACGUGCCAGCAGCCGCGGUAAUACGUAGGGUGCAAGCGUUAAUCGGAAUUACUGGGCGUAAAGCGUGCGCAGGCGGUUAUGUAAGACAGUCGUGAAAUCCCCGGGCUCAACCUGGGAACUGCGAUUGUGACUGCAUAGCUAGAGUACGGUAGAGGGGGGUGGAAUUCCGCGUGUAGCAGUGAAAUGCGU
rnacentral:rRNA from 1 species